AUGACGCAGCAUCUCCGCCCGCAGCCCGGCGCUCCUGUCUUCCUGGCCGCGCUCGCUCCUCCUCCCAAACACCAGUUUUCUUUACAGGCUUCGAGCCCGUCGCGGCUGGGCUGGGCUGGGCUGGACUGGACUGGCGGGCGGGCCCGGCCGGGCAGGGCUGUGGUGCUAAUGGCGGCGGCUCUCCCUCCUUCCUCCUUUCCUCCGUCCCCCCGGUCGUGGGGAGCCCGGAGCAGGAGGCGGGCCCGCGGCCAGGUUCUGGGCCAGAGAAGGGGCGACAGCCGGGCAACCCCCGAAUGGAUAAUUUUUCCUUCUGUCGACGGCAGGGGCAGGCCUAGUUUGACCCUGACAGUCCUCCCAUUAAGGAAUUCCUAGUGACUGGAAGGGGAGUGACACGGGUCCUCAACCUCUAGCAGUGCUGCCAAGCCCAGUGUGCCAGCCAGCGCUCAGCCUUCUGUAAAGGGUUCCCCUCUUCCAGCCUCCAUUGCACCACUUUCCCCCAAGACUGACCUCCUGGAAAGCUGGAGCAUAACUGCCUCUCAAUAAACGUGUUGCGAAAAAGGAGU
rnacentral:lncRNA from 1 species